rnacentral:rRNA from 1 species
UACGGGGGGGGUAAGCGUUGUUCGGAAUUACUGGGCGUAAAGGGCUCGUAGGCGGCCAACUAAGUCAGACGUGAAAUCCCUCAGCUUAACUGGGGAACUGCGUCUGAUACUGGAUGGCUUGGAUUUGGGAGAGGGAUGCGGAAUUCCAGGUGUAGCGGUGAAAUGCGUAGAUAUCAGGAGGAACACCGGUGGCGAAGGCGGGUCUCUGGGCCGGUACUGACGCUGAGGCGCGAAAGCGUGGGGAGCGAACAGG